rnacentral:rRNA from 3 species
GAUCCUGGCUCAGAACGAACGCUGGCGGCAGGCCUAACACAUGCAAGUCGAACGGAUCCUUCGGGAUUAGUGGCAGACGGGUGAGUAACGCGUGGGAAGCUACCUUGUGGUAGGGGACAACAGUUGGAAACGACUGCUAAUACCCUAUGAGCCCUAUGGGGGAAAGAUUUAUCGCCAUGAGAUGUGCCCGCGUUAGAUUAGCUAGUUGGUAAGGUAAUGGCUUACCAAGGCGACGAUCUAUAGCUGGUCUGAGAGGAUGAUCAGCCACACUGGGACUGAGACACGGCCCAGACUCCUACGGGAGGCAGCAGUGGGGAAUAUUGGACAAUGGGGGCAACCCUGAUCCAGCCAUGCCGCGUGUGUGAUGACGGCCUUAGGGUUGUAAAGCACUUUCAGCAGUGAAGAUAAUGACAUUAACUGCAGAAGAAGCCCCGGCUAA